rnacentral:misc_RNA from 1 species
UCAGAGAUGGCGGGCCCCCGCGCCCCCGUCCCCAACCCUUUGUUGACCAAACCACUGUUGCCUCGGGGGCAGAGCGGCCUCCGCCGCCCCCGGUGGACCAUUUAACCCUGUCUCUGUACGUCGGAGUCUUUGAUAAAUAUAUGA